rnacentral:rRNA from 1 species
UGAGGAAUAUUGGACAAUGGAGGCAACUCUGAUCCAGCCAUGCCGCGUGAAGGACUAAGGCCCUAUGGGUCGUAAACUUCUUUUGACGCAGAGCAAUAAGGUGUACGCGUACACCGAUGAGAGUACCAUGAGAAUAAGCACCGGCUAACUCCGUGCCAGCAGCCGCGGUAAUACGGAGGGUGCAAGCGUUAUCCGGAUUUAUUGGGUUUAAAGGGUGCGUAGGCUGUAAGUCAAGUCAGCGGUGAAAAGUCGGGGCUAAACCUUGAGGGUGCCGUUGAAACUGAUUUACUAGAAUGUGGAUGAUGCCGGCGGAAUGUGUCAAGUAGCGGUGAAAUGCAUAGAUAUGACACAGAAGGCCGAUUGCGAAGGCAGCUGGCAAAGGCACGAUUGACGCUGAGGCACGAAAGUGCGGGGAUCGAACAGGAUUAGAUACCCUGGUAGU